UACGAACCAGGGCCGAAUCCCUU
rnacentral:siRNA from 1 species